UUUAAAAAUUAAAUGUGAUUGAAAAUAAAACUCAAUUCUGUAUAGAUCCAUUUAAAGAUGUCAAUAAUUACGAUUUUAUCUUUUAUAUUUGUAUCAUCAGUAUUUACUUAUACAUCAUCGCAAAACUGUGAAGGAUCUGAAUGUUGCUCAGGGUAUAUGUAUGAUGUGAAUUCCAGCAGUUGCAUUGCAUGUAGAACUGGGUUUAUUGGGAAAUACUGCGAAAUACCUUGCCCAUACCCCAUGUUUGGAAAUAAAUGUCAACAAAGAUGCCAUUGUACAAGAGAACUUUGCAACAUUUCCAUUGGAUGUAUAAAUUUACAAAAGUUAUGUUCUUCCUUUUGUAAUGUUUUUAGAUUAAUAUCCCAGACUUAAUAUGUGAAGUGUUAAUUAAAACAAGUCAGUUUUUAAAGGUAGUUAUUAAAUAUUUGUCUUUUCAUUUACCACUCCACUUGUGCCUUAUAACCAUCUGGGUAAAAAAUGUAUUUAAAUUGAAAAUGAUGAUUAAUGACUAUGUUUGAGCCUAACAUUAAAUAAAG